ACCUUCUCAGGGUCACACCUGGAGAGUUUCCAGUAUUCUACCAGUCUUGACUACGGGAGGGAGAGUCAAGCAGAGGCAGACCCAUUCCAUUCCUAGCUUGGUCAGUGGUUAGAAAAUGGGAGGCAAUCUUCUACAAGU